GACGAACGCUGGCGGCGUGCCUAACACAUGCAAGUCGAACGGGGUAAAGAACUUCGGUUUUUUACUUAGUGGCGAACGGGUGAGUAACGCGUGAGAAACCUGCCUUUCAGUGGGGGACAACAGUUGGAAAUGACUGCUAAUACCGCAUAAUGUUAUUUGGGGGCAUCCCUGAAUAACCAAAGAUUUAUUGCUGAAAGAUGGUCUCGCGUCUGAUUAGCUAGUUGGUGAGGUAACGGCUCACCAAGGCGACGAUCAGUAGCUGGUCUGAGAGGAUGAACGGCCACAUUGGGACUGAGAUACGGCCCAGACUCCUACGGGAGGCAGCAGUGGGGAAUAUUGGGCAAUGGGGGAAACCCUGACCCAGCAACGCCGCGUGAAGGAAGAAGGGCCUUCGGGUUGUAAACUUCUUUUACCUAGGGACGAAGUAUUGACGGUACCUGGAG
rnacentral:rRNA from 1 species